rnacentral:sRNA from 1 species
UGAAUAUGCCGAAGACAGCAGGUGCCGCAAGGCUUAAUAUCCCGCCGAGGUGGAGUUUCGCAAGUUUGUUUUUGCGUGCUUUCGUCCCCUGUCUUUCGGCAGGGGAUUUAUUUUUG